rnacentral:lncRNA from 1 species
CUGACCUUGUGAUCCACCUACCUUGGCCUCCCAAAGUGCUGGGAUUACAGGCGUGAGCCACCGUGCCUGGCUGAGGAUUCUUAAAAACAAAAAUCACAUAACCACAGUUGCAUUAUCAUGCCUGAGAAAUUGACAGCAGUUUCUUGGUUAUCUUCACCUCUCCCUGAUUGAAAACAUGUUAUUGCAGUUGAUUCCCACGUUUUCCUUUCAUACUUGCAGCCGUUUCAUUGGGUCAUCGCUAGCCACAGACAUGUGCUGCUGGUGGGGGCGGGGGUGGGGGGGUUGGGUAGGUGGGUAAGCAGGAUUAGCCUUGCGUCCCAGGAGGUCUUUCAGCAGGUUGGCUCAUAGUAUCCACCUAAAUCAAACACAAGGGAGAGACAGAAUCUGUAUGGGCAGGCAUGCUGAGUGCCAGCUGUGCUUGGUGAAUUCCCCAUGUCUCUGUGGGUGGGUGAUGCUGUAUGCAUCUUAAUAUUUGGGGAUGGGAAACAAUUGGGGCAAAAGAUCCAGCCUUUGCUGAUCACUCACUCAAAGUCAUUUGGAAACACAUACACAUUUAUCCUCACAGUUUUUGUUUACAGUUAAGAU